rnacentral:rRNA from 1 species
AACGAACGCUGGCGGCAGGCUUAACACAUGCAAGUCGAGCGCCCACUUCGGUGGGAGCGGCAGACGGGUGAGUAACACGUGGGAAUCUACCUAUCGGUGCGGAACAACACGAAGAAAUUCGUGCUAAUACCGCAUACGUCCUCAGGGAGAAAGAUUUAUCGCCGAUAGAUGAGCCCGCGUUUGAUUAGCUAGUUGGUGAGGUAAUGGCUCACCAAGGCGACGAUCAAUAGCUGGUCUGAGAGGAUGAUCAGCCACACUGGGACUGAGACACGGCCCAG